rnacentral:rRNA from 1 species
UACAGCUCCCACUUGCCCCCCCCAUUGAUUUUAUAAAAUAAUCAUAAUCCUUCACACUUAUCGAGCCAACUUAUACUUUUAUAAGUGAAAAAAUGCUAGAAUGAGUAACAAGAAAAUAUAAUUUUCUCUCUGCACACGUGUUAGUCAGAACAGACCCACUACUGACAAUUAAUGACUAUGAAUAUAAUGUAAUAACCAAGCAUAAACAAGAAAAUACUACAUCCGAAGAUCAUAAACUCUACACUGAAGUGCACCUAGAAAGAUUAAAAGGAAAAGAAGGAACUCGGCAACCACGAGCCCCGCCUGUUUACCAAAAACAUCGCCUCUUGCCAGAUCUAUAAGAGGUACUGCCUGCCCUGUGACAUUGUUUAACGGCCGCGGUAUUUUGACCGUGCGAAGGUAGCGUAAUCACUUGUCUCUUAAUUAGGGACCUGUAUGAAUGGCAACACGAGGGCUCCACUGUCUCCUUAACCAAAUCAGUGAAAUUGAACUGUCCGUUCAAAAGCGGACAUUUUUUCGUAAGACGAGAAGACCCUGUGGAGCUUUAAGCUCUGGCACUAAGCGUAAAUGUAAACUAAUACUAUAAAGCAAUCUAGCGCCAAAUACUUUCGGUUGGGGCGACCACGGAGCAUAAAAAAUCCUCCGCAAUGUGAAUUUUAUUUUAAGAAAGACAAUUCCUAAACUAGAAUUUCUAGCACAAUUGACCCAGAUAACUGAGCAAUGAACCAAGUUACCCCAGGGAUAACAGCGCAAUCCCAUCUAAGAGUCCCCAUCGACGAUGGGGUUUACGACCUCGAUGUUGGAUCAGGAUAUCCUGGUGGUGUAGCCGCUACCAAGGGUUUGUUUGUUCAACAAUUAAUAUCCUACGUGAUCUGAGUUCAGACCGGAGU